rnacentral:tRNA from 1 species
CGGGGUGUGGUGUACCGGUAACAUGCACGGUUCGGGUCCGUGAGACAGAGGGUUCAAUUCCCUCCACCCCGA